rnacentral:rRNA from 1 species
UCCAGACUCCUACGGGAGGCAGCAGUGGGGGAUAUUGCACAAUGGGGGGAACCCUGAUGCAGCGACGCCGCGUGGGUGAAGGAGCGUUUCGGCGCGUAAAGCCCUAUCGGCAGGGAAGAAGGAGGACGGUACCUGACUAAGAAGCCCCGGCUAACUACGUGCCAGCAGCCGCGGUAAUACGUAGGGGGCAAGCGUUAUCCGGAUUUACUGGGUGUAAAGGGGGCGCAGACGGCAGCGCAAGCCAGGAGUGAAAGCCCGGGGCCCAACCCCGGGACUGCUCUUGGAACUGCGCGGCUGGAGUGCAGGAGGGGCAGGCGGAAUUCCUGGUGUAGCGGUGAAAUGCGUAGAUAUCAGGAGGAACACCGGUGACGAAGGCGGCCUGCUGGACUGCGACUGACGUUGAGGCCCGAAAGCGUGGGGAGCAAACAGGAUUAGAUACCCCGGUA